UACGAGGGGGGCGAGCGUUGUUCGGAAUCACUGGGCGUAAAGAGUGCGUAGGCGGUUAUGAAAGUUAGGAGUGAAAGCCCAGGGCUUAACCCUGGAAUUGCUCUUAAAACUACAUAACUCGAAUUCGGGAGAGGAUAGCGGAAUUGUCAGUGUAGCAGUGAAAUGCGUAGAUAUUGACAGGAACACCAGUGGCGUAAGCGGCUAUCUGGACCGACAUUGACGCUGAGGCACGAAAGCGUGGGGAUCAAACAGGAUUAGAAACCCUGUAGU
rnacentral:rRNA from 1 species